CCCUACUGCUAUCGGGGUGGGACUAAAACAUGCAAGUCGAGCGUCUCCAAGCUAUGGUGGAGGCGCGGCGUACGGCUCAGUAACACGUGGCUAACCUACCCUUGGGGCGGGAACACCCCCGGGAAACCACGCGCAGACCUUGACGACAUAAACACAAAUUCUCAAAAAUCCAAAAACCCCAUAACAUAAACAAAUACUUUACUACACCGCCUUGCCGAUUUCUAAGCUGGCAAAGGCUACCUUAAACUAACCAAAACUCGCACAUAACUUUCUAAGAAUAGAAACUUAAGGCUCUGGCGUAGCCCAAAACUGGGGUUAAUUCCCGAUGGGUGAGGAGGCCUGGAAUGGUUCUUCACUGAAAGGGCGCUAGGGGCAUGCUCUCUAACGUUGCCCAAGGAUGGGGCCGCGGCCGAUCAGGUUGUUGGUGAGGUAACGGCUUACCAAGCCUAUAACCGGUACGGGCCGCGAGAGCGGAAGCCCGGAGAUGGGCACUGAGAUAAGGGCCCAGGCCCUACGGGGCGCAGCAGUUGCGAAAACUCCGCAAUGCACGAAAGUGUGACGGGCUACCCCGAGUGCCGUCCGCUGAGGAUGGCUUUUCUCCGCUGUAAGGAGGCGGAGGAAUAAGGAGAGGGCAAGACUGGUGUCAGCCGCCGCGGUAAUACCAGCUCUCCGAGUGGUAGGGAUGAUUAUUGGGCUUAAAGCGUCCGUAGCCGGCCUGGCAAGUCUUCCGUUAAAUCCAGCAACCUAAUUGUUGGGCUGCGGGGGAUACUGUUAGGCUAGGGGGCGGGAGAGGCCGACGGUAUUCUCGGGGUAGGGGUGAAAUCUUAUAAUCCCGAGAGGACCACCAGUGGCGAAGGCUGUCGGCUAGCACGCGCCUGACGGUGAGGGACGAAAGCUGGGGGAGCGAACCGGAUUAGAUACCCGGGUAGUCCCUGCUGUAAACGAUGCGAGCUAGGUGUUGGGGCGGCUACGAGCCGCUUCAGUGCCGCAGCGAAGGCGUUAAGCUCGCCGCCUGGGGAGUACGGCCGCAAGGCUGAAACUUAAAGGAAUUGGCGGGGGAGCACCACAAGGCGUGAAGCUUGCGGCUC
rnacentral:rRNA from 1 species